rnacentral:rRNA from 1 species
UACGUAGGGUGCGAGCGUUAAUCGGAAUUACUGGGCGUAAAGCGUGCGCAGGCGGUUUUUUAAGACAGGCGUGAAAUCCCCGGGCUUAACCUGGGAACUGCGCUUGUAACUGGAAGGCUAGAGUACGGCAGAGGGGGGUGGAAUUCCACGUGUAGCAGUGAAAUGCGUAGAGAUGUGGAGGAACACCGAUGGCGAAGGCAGCCCCCUGGGCCGAUACUGACGCUCAUGCACGAAAGCGUGGGGAGCAAACAGG